UUGCUAUCUUCAGCAGCAUAUGUACUAAAAUUAGAACAACACAGGGAAGAUUAGCAUGGCCCCUGUGCAAGGGUGACACACAAAUUUGUGAAGCAUUUCAUAUUUUU
ensembl:snRNA U6 U6 spliceosomal RNA